rnacentral:lncRNA from 1 species
GAAGUAAAUCAAGAUUGACGUGUUUGUGAACGAUGAAGAUUCAAGACCAAUCAUCACCGAUUCCUAAAUUUUAUGUUACUAGGAUCAAUCAUCCUGUUAUUAUUGUCAUCUAUUUAUAUGUAUACCAUACAACAUUUUGAUUGACAAACCAAGGCGGAUUUGGCGUUGCUGUCUCCGUCAUUCACAAACACGUCGAACUUGGCCUAUUUUCAUGGUUACGGCUUCAGAUUGAAGACAUAUGGUGAGCAUUGGGUUUAGGAAACCGGACCCUUAAUUUCAUCGAGUACAAGAACAACUCCCGGUAGUGACCAAUGCAACGCCGUUCUGGGACAUGGUGAAAAAGGUGAACGAGGCCAAUGGUUCAACAACAUUGAAAAAAAAAAACUAUUCUUUAUGCCUCCAUUUGGAAGAUCUGGAAGACCCGAAACGAUUGCAUUUUUAAUAGCAUCUCGUUUUCAGUUUUGAAAGCCGUAGAUGGCAUAAAGGACUCGUUUAUGUGGCCUAAACAAAGAGCGCCUUUUAGUUAUUUAGUUUGGGAGAGAUGGAGGGAUUUUAAUGUCCGGGAUAUUAUUGUCUAAUGUUCGUUUUUUCUUUUAGAACUUCCAGCUUCAUAUUCUAUUUUAUGAUCUAAUAAUAAAAUAGCCACCGUUUGGAAAAAAAAAAUUACAAGAACAACUUUUUAUGCAAAAGGUACAGCAGUAUGUGUGGAAGUGGAUCAGAUCAUGCAAAUCUGAAUGCUGAAUUCAAACAAAAGAACCUAAAAGAUAAGUGAUAAACAUUAAAUAGAUAUGUGGCUGAAAUCUCAAGUC